GGGUUAGUUAGAAGCUUGCUUCUAAUUAACCUAGCGGCGGACGGGUGAGUAACACAUAGGCAACCUGCCCACAAGACAGGGAUAACUACCGGAAACGGUAGGUAAUACCCGAUACAUCCUUUUCCUGCAUGGGAGAAGGAGGAAAGGCGGAGCAAUCUGUCACUUGUGGAUGGGCCUGCGGCGCAUUAGCUAGUUGGUGGGGUAAAGGCCUACCAAGGCGACGAUGCGUAGCCGACCUGAGAGGGUGAUCGGCCACACUGGGACUGAGACACGGCCCAGACUCCUACGGGAGGCAGCAAUAGGGAAUCUUCCGCAAUGGGCGAAAGCCUGACGGAGCAACGCCGCGUGAGUGAUGAAGGUUUUCGGAUCGUAAAGCUCUGUUGCCAGGGAAGAACGUCUUGUAGAGUAACUGCUACAAGAAUGACGGUACCUGAGAAGAAAGCCCCGGCUAACUACGUGCCAGCAGCCGCGAUAAUACGUAGGGGGCAAGCGUUGUCCGGAAUUAUUGGGCGUAAAGCGCGCGCAGGCGGCUCUUUAAGUCUGGUGUUUAAUCCCGAGGCUCAACUUCGGGUCGCACUGGAAACUGGGGAGCUUGAGUGCAGAAGAGGAGAGUGGAAUUACACGUGUAGCGGUAAAAUGCGUAGAGAUGUGGAGGAACACCAGUGGCGAAGGCGACUCUCUGGGCUGUAACUGACACUGAGGCGCAAAAGCGUGGGGAGCAAA
rnacentral:rRNA from 1 species